AACGCGAAGAACCUUACCGGUCUUGACAUGAGAAUCAGAGAUGGAGUGCCUUCGGGAAUCAACAGGUGCUGCAUGGCUGUCGUCAGCUCGUGUCGUGAGAUGUUGGGUUAAGUCCCGAACGAGCGCAACCCUUUCCUUAUUCCAGCGUUAAGCGGGACUUAAGGAACUGCCGUGACAAACGGAGGAAGGGGGGAGACGUCAAGUCAUCAUGGCCCUUACGCCGGGCUACACACGUGCUACAAUGGUGGUACAAGGGUUGCACGCGAGUGAUGCUAAUCCAAAACCAUCGUAGUCCGGAUGAGUCUGCAACUCGACUCGAAGUCGGAAUCGCUAGUAAUC
rnacentral:rRNA from 1 species